GGCCCAAUGGUCUAGUAGCAUGAUACGCGCUUCGGGAGUUUCAACCCCGCUUUGGUUUCAAAGCUUUGCAUGUGCGUGGUCCCGGGUUCAACUCCCGGUUGGGCCC